AACAGGAUUAGAUACCCUGGUAGUCCACGCCGUAAACGAUGUCAACUAGUUGUUCGUGUCAUUAAGACGUGAGUAACGCAGCUAACGCGCUAAGUUGACCGCCUGGGGAGUACGGCCGCAAGGUUAAAACUCAAAUGAAUUGACGGGGGCCCGCACAAGCGGUGGAGCAUGUGGUUUAAUUCGAUGCAACGCGAAGAACCUUACCAUCCCUUGACAUCCAGUGAAUUUUUCAGAGAUGAAUUAGUGCCUUCGGGAACACUGAGACAGGUGCUGCAUGGCUGUCGUCAGCUCGUGUUGUGAGAUGUUGGGUUAAGUCCCGCAACGAGCGCAACCCUUAUCCUUAGUUGCCAGCACGUAAAGGUGGGAACUCUGGGGAGACUGCCGGUGAUAAACCGGAGGAAGGUGGGGACGACGUCAAGUCAUCAUGGCCCUUACGGGAUGGGCUACACACGUGCUACAAUGGCGCAUACAAAGGGCAGCAAGCCAGCGAUGGUUAGCGAAUCUCAUAAAGUGCGUCGUAGUCCGGAUCGGAGUCUGCAACUCGACUCCGUGAAGUCGGAAUCGCUAGUAAUCGUGGAUCAGAAUGCCACGGUGAAUACGUUCCCGGGCCUUGUACACACCGCCCGUCACACCAUGGGAGUGGGCUGCACCAGAAGUGGUUAGUUUAACCUUCGGGAGAACGAUCACCACGGUGUGGUUCAUGACUGGGGUGAAGUCGUAACAAGGUAACC
rnacentral:rRNA from 1 species